CGGAGAUCUCAGGCGGGAUUGGCCCUUCCAAACCGCUUGCAUGAAUCUCUCUGCAAAUAUUGAAGAAAUUGGAAGAGAUAAAGCAAGAACGAAGAGAAGUGGUGAAUCAUAGACUGGAAUGGUGGAAAAUCUCACAGUUUUAUAAGGGAGUGGGUUAUCGCCAUUGACAGGCUGGUUAAUGCAAAUGUUAUCGACUUGGAUUGCUACACCUCCUAUGAUCCAAUAAAGUAAAAACACAGUAAUACAAAUAAAAAUGAAGCGAUCAACAAGAGACUUACAAUUCUUUUAAAGUAGUGAUAUUUCCUAUCUCUUUCGGGAUUGGGCCAGAUAAUCGAUUUCCCCCAAGAUAGCUGCAUUUUGAUUUGUUUCACUCUCUAUUAGUUUCUAUAUUGAAAAAGUAAGUAAAUAACAGCA